rnacentral:rRNA from 1 species
AAUGAACGCUGGCGGCAUGCCUAACACAUGCGAGUCGAACGAAGGCUUCGGCCUUAGUGGCGCACGGGUGCGUAACGCGUGGGAAUCUGCCCUUGGGUUCGGAAUAACAGUUAGAAAUGACUGCUAAUACCGGAUGAUGUCGUAAGACCAAAGAUUUAUCGCCCAAGGAUGAGCCCGCGUAGGAUUAGCUAGUUGGUGGGGUAAAGGCCUACCAAGGCGACGAUCCUUAGCUGGUCUGAGAGGAUGAUCAGCCACACUGGGACUGAGACACGGCCCAGACUCCUACGGGAGGCAGCAGUGGGGAAUAUUGGACAAUGGGCGAAAGCCUGAUCCAGCAAUGCCGCGUGAGUGAUGAAGGCCUUAGGGUUGUAAAGCUCUUUUACCCGGGAUGAUAAUGACAGUACCGGGAGAAUAAGCUCCGGCUAACUUCGUG